rnacentral:misc_RNA from 1 species
CACCACCACCACCACCACCACCUCUUGGACUGGGCAAGAUAAGUGAACAGAAGGGGAUUUUGGGUCCUGGGCCAGCAGAUUUACGUUUCUCAGAGGCACUUUGACCUAGCAAUUGGAAGGAAGCAAAAGGAACAUAAAACACAAGAGGGUUCAAAUCUUGGUAGAGCCUUCUUUGCUCCAUGGUCUUGCCUCCAGCAUUGCAACUCGUAGUUUACUACUUCUCCAACAAGUAUGUUGAGAUGGAUUUUUUCUAAUGCCUUCUCCAUCUCGCGAGCCCAUCUAAUUUGUUACCAGGCUCGUUUGUGACGCCAAACCUUCUUCUUUGUUUGUAAUUUUGUUCUUUGUGUUGGUUAAUUACUGUGAUAUUAACGAUGAUAUUGAUAAUUUAUUACUUUAUUUUGAUUUGUAUAUAUUGGAUUUGCUUUAAAUUUGAUGAUUUAUGUUUAAUUUGUUUUAGUUCUUGUGAUCUGUAAUAUUGGGUUUAUUUCUGUUCUUGUCUGGUUAUUGAAAGUUGAAGAACUGAUGGACCGAACCAAA